rnacentral:rRNA from 2 species
AAAUUGAAGAGUUUGAUCAUGGCUCAGAUUGAACGCUGGCGGCAGGCCUAACACAUGCAAGUCGAACGGUAACAGGAAGCAGCUUGCUGCUUCGCUGACGAGUGGCGGACGGGUGAGUAAUGUCUGGGAAACUGCCUGAUGGAGGGGGAUAACUACUGGAAACGGUAGCUAAUACCGCAUAACGUCGCAAGACCAAAGAGGGGGACCUUCGGGCCUCUUGCCAUCAGAUGUGCCCAGAUGGGAUUAGCU